rnacentral:misc_RNA from 1 species
GUGAAUCAUCAAAUCUUUGAACGCAAAUUGCGCUUCCUGCUAUCCCGGGAAGUAUGCCUGUUUGAGGGUCAGUAUUAACAAACACUCGGUUUGGUUGCAAAUUGUGUCGUCUCCGGAGGUUGGGCUUAUCUUAACUUCUGUGGUAAAGGGGCUUAACAUCGACCUUUUUUGCGCAUUUUUAGACGUACAUAAAUCUUUUAUUUAUUAGUCUAUUCUUCAUGCCAAAAUCUUAUUAGAUGCGAUCACAUAGAGUAGCC